rnacentral:rRNA from 1 species
AGCGGUGAAAUUCCAAUCGAGCCCGGAGAUAGCUGGUUCUCCCCGAAAUAGCUUUAGGGCUAGCCGCAAGGUGAGAGAUACGGAGGUAGAGCACUGAAUGUCCUAGGGGGUAUUGCACCUACCGAAGACUAUCAAACUCCGAAUGCCGUCAUCUUAUACUUGGGAGUCAGACUGUGGGUGAUAAGAUUCAUAGUCGAAAGGGCAACAGCCCAGAUCGUCAGCUAAGGUCCCUAAAUGUAAGUUAAGUGGUAAAGGAUGUGGGAUUGCACAGACAACCAGGAUGUUGGCUUAGAAGCAGCCACUCAUUCAAAGAGUGCGUAAUAGCUCACUGGUCGAGUGAUCCUGCGCCGAAGAUUUCCGGGGCUAAAACUUACUACCGAAGCUACGGCAUCAGUAAUGAUGGGUAGGGGAGCUUCCCAUACGGGU